rnacentral:rRNA from 1 species
AUGAACGCUAGCUACAGGCUUAACACAUGCAAGUCGAGGGGCAGCAUGGUCUUAGCUUGCUAAGGCCGAUGGCGACCGGCGCACGGGUGAGUAACGCGUAUCCAACCUGCCUUACACUCUUGGACAGCCUUCUGAAAGGGAGAUUAAUACAAGAUGUUAUCAUGAGUAAGCAUUUUCGCAUGAUUAAAGGUUUACCGGUGUAAGAUGGGGAUGCGUUCCAUUAGAUAGUAGGCGGGGUAACGGCCCACCUAGUCUUCGAUGGAUAGGGGUUCUGAGAGGAAGGUCCCCCACAUUGGAACUGAGACACGGUCCAAACUCCUACGGGAGGCAGCAGUGAGGAAUAUUGGUCAAUGGACGAGAGUCUGAACCAGCCAAGUAGCGUGAAGGAUGAAGGUUCUAUGGAUUGUAAACUUCUUUUAUACGGGAAUAAACGAAUCCACGUGUGGAUUUUUGCAUGUACCGUAUGAAUAAGGAUCGGCUAACUCCGUGCCAGCAGCCGCGGUAAUACGGAGGAUCCGAGCGUUAUCCGGAUUUAUUGGGUUUAAAGGGAGCGUAGAUGGGUUGUUAAGUCAGUUGUGAAAGUUUGCGGCUCAACCGUAAAAUUGCAAUUGAUACUGGCAGUCUUGAGUACAGUUGAGGUAGGCGGAAUUCGUGGUGUAGCGGUGAAAUGCUUAGAUAUCACGAAGAACUCCGAUUGCGAAGGCAGCUUACUAACCUGUAACUGACAUUGAUGCUCGAAAGUGUGGGUAUCAAACAGGAUUAGAUACCCUGGUAGUCCACACGGUAAACGAUGAAUACUCGCUGUAGGCGAUAUACAGUCUGCGGCCAAGCGAAAGCAUUAAGUAUUCCACCUGGGGAGUACGCCGGCAACGGUGAAACUCAAAGGAAUUGACGGGGGCCCGCACAAGCGGAGGAACAUGUGGUUUAAUUCGAUGAUACGCGAGGAACCUUACCCGGGCUUAAAUUGCAACCGAAUAUGGCGGAAACGCUAUAGCUAGCAAUAGCGGUUGUGAAGGUGCUGCAUGGUUGUCGUCAGCUCGUGUCGUGAGAUGUUGGGUUAAGUCCCGCAACGAGCGCAACCCUUAUCCUUUGUUGCCAGCGCGUAAUGGCGGGAACUCAAAGGAGACUGCCGGUGAUAAACCGGAGGAAGGUGGGGAUGACGUCAAAUCAGCACGGCCCUUACGUCCGGGGCUACACACGUGUUACAAUGGGGGGUACAGAGGGCUGCUACCACGCAAGUGGAUGCCAAUCCCAAAAACCUCUCUCAGUUCGGAUUGAAGUCUGCAACCCGACUUCAUGAAGCUGGAUUCGCUAGUAAUCGCGCAUCAGCCACGGCGCGGUGAAUACGUUCCCGGGCCUUGUACACACCGCCCGUCAAGCCAUGGGAGCCGGGGGUACCUGAAGUGCGUAACCGCAAGGAGCGCCCUAGGGUAAAACUGGUGACUGGGGCU